rnacentral:lncRNA from 12 species
CGGCAUUCCUGCUGAACCGCUCUUCCCCGGGGCCGUGCUGGGAUUCCCGGGCCCGUGCUGGGAUUCCUGGGCCCGUGCUGGCAUUCUCGGGCCGUUCUGGGAUUCCCGCUCCCUGCCCUCCGCAGGGUCCUCGGGUGGCCACGGGCUGGUGCUCUCUUCCGUGGGGCAGGAGCAACUGGUGAUGAAGAGAAAACCCCCUUGCCUCCGACAUGUGUUCCUUGCGCACCUCCAAGCUGUGCCUACAAUCUGUUACAGCGCUUGGCGUCAGUGCUGGAAAACAACGAGCUGGUAUAAGGGAAAGUUGGAUAGUCCUGGAAAAUUCCAGGCACAGCAAACAGUACUAGGAAGAUACAAAGUUAUAAAUAGAGAAGGAGAAGCGGUGCAGUCUCGCGAGAAUAAGGUACUGUGAAGAACUUUGAGAUUCUGCAAAAAGCUGGAGGAAAAAGAAGAAAAACACACAUAAAUACAGUAGUAUAGUUCUUUCCAGACGUGAGUUAUUCUGGUGAAAAAAUAUUAUUUCAGAAUAUUCUAUUUUUAAAAAAUUCUCAUUUACAAGCAAGUAUUUAGAGAGAAAUGUAAAUAUUAAA